rnacentral:rRNA from 1 species
UACGGAGGGUGCAAGCGUUAAUCGGAAUUACUGGGCGUAAAGCGCACGCAGGCGGUCUGUCAAGUCGGAUGUGAAAUCCCCGGGCUCAACCUGGGAACUGCAUUCGAAACUGGCAGGCUAGAGUCUUGUAGAGGGGGGUAGAAUUCCAGGUGUAGUGGUGAAAUGCGUAGAGAUCUGGAGGAAUACCGGUGGCGAAGGCGGCCCCCUGGACAAAGACUGACGCUCAGGUGCGAAAGCGUGGGGAGCAAACAGG